AUGUCGUCCCCGCCGCCCAUGCCUGGAAGGGAGGAGAUCGCCGGCGCCAAGGCGCCGCGUCCGCUCGCUGCGGACACCACCGGCGCAGGGGGAGACGCCGGAGGUGUCGCCGAGGCAAGCCAAGCAGCGUCCGGCGGUGAGGCCAAAGCGACGCCGUCGCCAGCGACUAUCUGCCCUUGCUGCACGGAGCCGUGGACCAGCGACGGCCCUCAUCGCAUGUGUUGCAUUCCUUGUGGGCAUGUGUAUGGCAGAUCUUGUAUGGAGACGUUGCUGCGUCGUUCUGGCCAGAAUAGUGCCAAGGAAAUUAAUGCGUUCUACGAGCAUAUAUUUGUUGCAGUAAGGGCAACGUGUAUUGAUAUUCAACAAUGGUUUAGAGAACGCGUUGCUCAGAUGGAGAGAAUAGUGAACAAAAAGGUGACAAUGGCUAAGGCCAACUUGAUGUUAAUGAAGGACCGGUUGAAGAAGAUGGCUGAACAAGAGAAGAUCGUGCCGAAGGAUAUGAUAGUGUUCAUGGAGCAGAAUUGCCCUCAGCUGAUGAUUUGUGUGUCGUGCGUGUUCUCGUCAUUACCCGCACCAGGUAUGGUAGGCGGGGACGAGGUUGCCAAUGUCGAAAUAGUGGUCAGAGAGGGGCCAUGUCCGCAUACUGUGGAAGCCAGUGAAUGGGGUGGCAGAGGCAACGAGUUAAAUCAUACUGCAUCUGGUUCGGGCGAGGAGACCGACGACUCAUACAGAGGCAGUAUCUACUUGGGCGAAUAUAAUGCGAACAUCUCCAACAUGGAGGCUUCUGCUGAAGGGAGGGAAGGCGUUGAGGCCAAGGCACCAGCAAGGCCAACCUGCUCUAUCUGUCUGGAACCCUGGACCUCCACGGGCAAGCAUCACAUCUGUUGCAUUCCUUGCGGGCACGUCUACGGCAGGUCGUGCCUAACAAGGUGGCUCAUGGAUCAGCUUUCAAGGAAUGAGAAUAUGAAGGAAGUGCAUGAGUAUUAUGAUGCUAAGUUGGCCGAGUUUGAGGCAUCGAGGGAAGAAUGUAAUGUAUUUGCAGAAUUGCAUUCUCAGUAUGAUCUGCUGAGUGCACAAGCGAAGUUUCGGGAUGAGCUGCGUGCACUAAUUAUCCUUGAAAUUGCUGAGAUUGAAAGAGCGAUGAUGGAACACGUGGCAAAGGCUAACGGUAGCUUGCUGUUGAUGAAAGAGCAGAUGAAGAAGAUGGCUGAAGAAGACAUGGCGACAACUGAGCAUCUAAUUGGAUUCGUGGAACAGACUUGCCAUUGCCUCGCCUCUUUCCUACCCUACCCAAGCUACCCAUAUGACCCUGCUGAUCAAAGCUGA
rnacentral:rRNA from 1 species